rnacentral:rRNA from 1 species
UACGUAGGUUGCAAGCGUUGUCCGGAAUUACUGGGUGUAAAGGGCGUGUAGGCGGGACUGCAAGUCAGAUGUGAAAUUCCCAGGCUCAACCUGGGGGCUGCAUCUCAAACUGUGGUUCUAGAGUGCUGGAGAGGAAAGCGGAAUUCCUAGUGUAGCGGUGAAAUGCGUAGAGAUUAGGAAGAACACCAGUGGCGAAGGCGACUCUCUGGACCGUAACUGACGCUGAGGCAUGAAAGCGUGGGGAGCAAACAGG